GUUCAUAUGACAUGGUAGCUGGCGUUCCCCCCAAGAUCAAGUGAUCCAAAGGAAGGAAGCUCAAGGUCUUUGAUAACCUAGUCUCAGAAGUUAUACACAUUGUCACUUCUGCUUUAUUCCAGUCCUUAGAGCUCCAGGGGAAGCAACUAAGUCAUUGUUACCCUGUUGGGUAUUUGGAUUUGAAUGUUCUGACAAGAAGUGGCAAGAAACACAGAAGUCUUGGGUCAUACACUGGAUAGUGAAAAAAUACCUACGCAGUUGGGUCUUGGCAGUGCCAACUUUUGUAGAUUUCAUCACUGGGUUCAUUACUGUGGCUUCUGGUGGGGUUCAGUGUACUGGAACCAUCAAAAGACAAGUCACUACAUGGUGGAGGGAAGGGUAGGCUCUUCUCUACCACAUUGUCAUCUCUCCACCAAAGGCUGCGGCUCCAGCCAGGAAGCCCUCUCCAGUUUCUUUCUUGGCUUCCUGACUUUGCCAGGAGAACAAACCUGGAUUGGCCUGGUGAAGAAUGAGAGACACCUGGAGAAGAGGGGAGGAGCCUUAACCAUAGCUAGCCAACUCAAAACUGAGCUACCCAGAGGGCCCACAAUGACCACCGUCACACAAGGAGCCAAGAUUAGAG
ensembl:lncRNA